rnacentral:rRNA from 1 species
GACGAACGCUGGCGGCGUGCUUAACACAUGCAAGUCGAACGGAAAGGCCCUUCGGGGUACUCGAGUGGCGAACGGGUGCGUAACACGUAUGCAACCUACCUUGUACAGGAGUAUAGCUCGGGGAAACUCGAAUUAACACUCCAUAAUGUAAUGAUGAGUCAUCUCAUUAUUACUAAAACUCCGGUGGUACCAGAUGGGCAUGCGUCUGAUUAGUUAGUUGGCGGUGUAACGGACCACCAAGACGAUGAUCAGUAGGGGACCUGAGAGGGUGAUCCCCCACACUGGCACUGAGAUACGGGCCAGACUCCUACGGGAGGCAGCAGUAGGGAAUAUUGGUCAAUGGAUGCAAGUCUGAACCAGCCAUGCCGCGUGCAGGAAGAAGGCGUUAUGCGUUGUAAACUGCUUUUGCCAGGGGAUAAAAUGAGCGUGCGCGCUUAAUUGAAGGUACCUGGUGAAUAAGCCACGGCUAACUACGUGCCAGCCGCCGCGGUAACAC